GUGAGUCGCCUUUUCAUGCCCUUCAAGCAUCCUCGCGAUUGCAGAUCCAGCAGCAGCAUUAGGGUUUCCAUUCCGCUUUACCUGACGCUCAUCGCCCCCCAAGGCCACCCACCAUGAGCGGCAAGGCAGUGCAGGAGGCUGGCAAGGCCGUGCAGAAGGCCAAGGCCAUCGACUGGGAUUAUCUGCAGAGAGUGGUGGUCUCCGACUCCGGUAAGCGCGAGCUCGCUGCGCUUCGUCGCGCCUACGACGACGUCGCUGCCACCAUCAACGACAAGUUCAACAUCGUGAGUUGACGUCCUUUGUUUGGGUGAUUGAUUCAGGGGUUCGGCGUCCUCGUCGUGUGCACUCGGGCCUCGUGAUGGCAUUUGGUGUUGUGAUUUGGGAGAAUUGUGGAGGAUGUGAAGGAUGCCCUCUGUUUUUCCCUCCUUCAUUUUUGGGAUUCAUCCUGUCGAUCUGUUUUUGGCGACGGGUUCGGCCGUGGACUGUGGUGCAGUGGGCGAAUCCGAGUGAGGGUUGUCUCGUGAGGUUAGGGUUUGGAUGGGAGCUGAUUUUGGUGUUUGCGAGUGUGAUGUGGUCGGGCGGUGGUUGUGGAGAGGUGGCGGAGAAGCUGCGCUGAGAUGAUCGUAGGGUUGUAUGGUUCUGUUGGUGGUGAUCUUGGAGAUUCAGAUUUGAGGGUUUUUCUGUAGUCACGUGAAGGUAGACGUUGGGGCGUUUUGUGCAUUUUGGCGGAGGCUUGUUAGCCACAGGUUUAGGGUCCAGGCCCGGCUCUGAACUCCGUGGUGGGAUUGCGUUGUCGCGGCCGUUCCGGAUGGGUCUGGACGCGUACACAUGUGCCAUUGGAAGCCGACGAGGUGUCGGGUUCGGUGCGUUUGUGUCGUAGGGUCGAGUGUUCGCAAUUCCUGUCGUCGACGGAGGUCAUCACCCUGGCGGUGGCCACUUGAUGGACACGCGUGCAGCUAUGAUAGGGGGUCCCGCAUGUUGGAUGAGUUCCGGAGAACAAGCUUGAUGGGGGUAAUGAAUCAGGGGAAUAGUUUGGGAGCAAGAACAAAAUGAUGUGAACUGGAGUGAAGCGAAAUGAAUUGAAAUGAAAUGUGAGUGUUUUGAAGAAGACGUUCUAUCAAAAUUGUAAAUGCAGGAUUGGAUUGAUAGAGCGAAUGUAGGGUUCGUGGAGGGUGACUCCCCACGUGGGCAAUGUUAUGGUCGGAAGAGAAGCUGACGGUGCGUAUGUUAGAAACCGGUGCAGCGGAAUGGCACUUGUGGUGAGAAUUGAUGGUUGUGAAACCGCGGAAAGACUCUCACCAGGUUCUGCCAUCGAAACUGAAAGUGUUGGGAAGUGUUAAUGGCCGGUUCAGUAACUUGUGAUAAGAAGAUGUGGUUAAGGAAGUGUGGGUGGGUGGUUGUGACUGAUUGUGGAUGGUACGUGCGGAGCGGAAAGCAAUGCACUGGGUUGAGGAGAGAUGCAGUAGGGUUGCGUCCCUGCCGCUUUUGUGGUUGGGAUGUUGGGACGUCUGAGAUGGAUGGAGGUUCGGAUGCUGACCUUGUGGGUGACGUGGGGAUUCACAGAAACCUACGAACAUCAACUGGGAGUUUUACAAGCAGAAGCUGGGUCCUUCAAUCGUGAACAUCUUCCAGGACUCCGUGAGAUGUGAGUUUGUAGAAUGUGGUCGUGUGCGUGGUUGGAGUUUUGACAGGGUUAGAGUGGUGGUUGUUGCUGGAUGUGGUGUCGUGGUUGAGAAGGUCGGAGUUGGAGCUUUGUGUUGAAUUGGUGUGGCGUUGCAGCACUGGAGAAGGAGGUGCCGGAGUACAAGGAUGAGUACACCGCAGACUAUCAAGCCAAGCACCAAGCAUUGGUAAGCAAUCGCGGUACUGAGGCAACGCGGGUUGUGCAGAAGCAAAGGAUGUGUGGGGUAGUAGCGAUGUGUAGAGGUGUCAGAUGGUGGCGGCAUGUUGUACGCGUGCGAACAUGAGGAGGAGUCGGGGUGGGUGAGUUGCGUGGGCAGUAAGUUGUGGUCAUGGUGGACAUCCUGCGGAGAGGCAGUGAAGUGAAGUACGUGGUUGGGUGUGUUUGUUCACGAGCAGAUGGCGAAGGCUGCGGAGCAGGAGGAAGACUCGAAGAAGAAAAUCGUUGCUCUGGAGAAGGAGAUCGCGAAGGUGCAAGAAAACAAGGUAACGACAUUGCGACGGACGCAGCGUGGUUGGAUUGAGUGGCGGGGCUUUUUGGGGUUGCGCCGGAGCUGAAAUGUGUGCGUAUGCAGUGCAGGAAGGUACAGCGGCGUGGUGUAGUGACGUGUUGAAGUUGGUGUUGGAAUGUGUGCAGGCUGCUCUGAGAACAAUGACAGUGGACGAUUACUUCGCGAAGAAUCCAGGAGCCAAGGAGAAGAUCGAUGAUGAGAUCAGGAACAACCUGUGGGGAUACUAGUUGGAUAAAGUGCGGGCAGCUGCGGUUGGUUUGGUAGGACAAUAAGAUGUGGGAUUAGAGCUUUUGUUUGUUUGAGAGGAGUUGCAACGGUGUAGUCGCCGAGUGCUGAAAUGCUGUUAUAAUGCGGCAAUAUUGAAGUUGCAGAUUCAACUACGAUGGGCUUUCGCGAAAUACGGAUUUCCUCCCGAUAAUUAAUCUUGGAAAAGGAACGACCCCCGAAUAAUUAAUCAAGUUUUUGGGAACCGACUCCAGCUAUCUAGUGCGGUUUGUUGUUGUGAUGAUGACUAAGCUCUGAUAAUGAAUAACCUGUGAUAAUGAAUAACCUCUUAUGCUCAACACUUUUUUUUUUUUCUUUUUUUUUUUUUUUUGCUGCAGCGGAUUAUAUAAAGUAGCGGGGGGGUCAACUGUAAUGAAGAGCAUUAUCUGUGAUGAAGAGUAUGUGAGAGCUUGAAAUGUAUUUUUCGUGAAAAACUGCCGUGUGGUUCCGGGAGCUUAGUCAAAAGCAGGAACAGCCUGGCGAUUUUGUUGAGGUGGUGGCUGCGGAUCUCAAUUGACUUGGUUGACCUAGCGCUCAUGGGAUUGGCUGGACGGUACUUAGUGGUUGCAUGUGGUGUUGGGAUGGAAAUGAGACGGAUUUAGGCAGCAGCUGGCCGGCUUCUUGCAAUGCAAUGCUGCACACAUGCACUAGUAAGAGGUGAGCAGAAGGAAAGGAGCAGAAAUAGUAGUUGGGGACUGUGGGUUUACGCUUGGCAUGACGGUGUAGCCGAGAGCACUUGGCAGAUGUCCAGAAGGGACGCUGUGGUCGCUGUGCCGAUAAUCGAAGACGACGGGAAUGUAUCGCGUUGGGUGUGAAAGCACGGGGAGUCAAUCUGCGCUUCAGGAACGUCCGUGUCGAGGGGGAAGUUAAUUAGGUGUUGAAUUACCUUCGGCUUAGACGAGGAAAGUGGAGGAAGAAAUGGAUUGAUCAACUUUGUCACAGCAUUGGCGAGGUUGACUCAGUGGUCUUCUGUGGGGCAACGCAGUUGUUUGGAGAGGAGAUGUUUGCCCGGUUACCCUUAACAUAUGGACGAAAGCAGGUUCCACAACGUGAAGCUCACCACGAAGCGUGGCAGGAGACCGAAGGACACGAGGGUUUGAGAAGGCUCAACGCGGGUUUGCAGAACGUGUCGUGUUCACGUCACCUGUUUGAAGCUGAUGGGUUAUGCUUCAGGGGACCCCAAGAGCAAGAUUCCGCUGGUAGUGAUUGAAAAAUGAUCUAUGUGAGACUUCAGUAUAGAGCUCGGCGAUGAAGAGGAGAUCAAGAGUAGGUGCGCGGACGAGAAGAAAGACUCUGGCAAUGAUUGCCUAAAAUGCGGACACAACAUGUUGUAACGUUCGCUGCAAUGAAUGGAAGUGAGGUUUUUCUUUUUUUUACAAUCUACAGACAGGGUGCGGUGUGGGCAGACUGCUUUUACAUCAUAUUGUAACAUGGUUGGGCACCAUUUGAAACUAACCAGGUUGAAAGGCGUUUGGUAUAUUGCGCACCAUCGCUAGGAAAUGGAGCUGUACACUGUAGGCUUGGAAAGGAUAUGCCGAGAUCGCAUCUGAAUGAACCCAUGUUCAGAGCAGCAAAACUCUGUGUCUGUUCUGAGUUCUCUGUGAGCUGGCUAUUCUGAGUUAUUAUUCAGAAGAGCUGGCUUUUCUGAAUAAUUUACUCAGAACAGAAUAUCUCUUUUUUUGUCUUUAUUAUUAAAUAUAUGAAUUCUUAUGUCAAUAUUAUAUAAAUCAGAAUUCUUUUCCUACAAAUAUUAUUAUUUAUAUAAAUAAUAAAGCCACAUUUAGCAAUUUCAUAUUAGGCAUCUUAAAUUUUUAAAAUAUAUUUUCUAAUUCAAAAUUUAUAUUUGAAAUUUUUGAGCUUAUAUUUAAAAUUAUAGUUCUUAAUACUAGCACUUUUAAGAGUUGCAACAAAGUAAAAUUUUUAGUACACAUGAACUGUGUAGAAUGCAUAAUUUUCAAUUCAUAUACUUAAAUAGUAAAAAUUCCAAAGUCUCUAAUUUUCAAAGUACUAAACCGUAAUUAACCAAAAAUAUCUAAAAAACUUAGAACUAUCAAACUAAAUAUUAUAAUAUGUAAGUUUUUAUUAUCAAUAAAAUAUGUAUCUACAUAGAAAAAGAAUUGGCUUUUCUUCACAUUGUCUUUGCUCUGGCAUCCUAGUCAUCAAAUUUACUUCCAAAUUCUUCACUACUUGAAUUUUUGCUUAAUGUAUCUAAAUCCAUGAAGUUGUCUUUAUCCAACAUAUAAAAGUCCAUGUCUUUUUCAAUAAAAAUAUUCCUUGAUUUACCUAUCAUAUUUGAAUUUCUUCAUGCAUUAAAUUUUUUACAAUCCUCAUAUUUUUUUUUUGUAAUAUUACAUUUUUGCGCUCUUUGUUGGCAAUGCUGCAUUUAUGCCAAAUCGCCUCAACCAUCAUUUUUUUAGUACUAAUUAAUCAUUUUAAAAUUUGAUUCUUCUUUGUUGGAUGUCCUAUAAAAUUCUUUUACUAAUGAAACUUCGAACUAUCAGAUUCCAAUACGAGAAUAGUAUGUAAAAAAUAAAAAAUUAGAAAAAAUUAAAGAUAAAAGCCAUAAGAACUUAAGGCUUGCAUGAUUAAAAAUUUAAUAGAAAAUACAAUAAUUUUUUUAAAAGUACAUAGAAUAAUAUAAAGACUAAGUAGAAAUUUUAAAUGAAAGUAGAAAGAAAGAAAAAAAAUCCAAAAAUAAAUCAAUUAAAAAUUAUUCAAGCUACACUAAUUAUUAGAUUUACUUCUAAAACUUCCUGAAUCCAUGCUAAAAUUGCCUAAAUCUAUACUCCCUUUACUUGACAUAGUAGCACUUGAAAUUUUAUUAUGACUUCUUUCCUAAUCCUCUUUUAUUUUUUGCUUUAUUUUAAGUUAAAUAAUCCCUCAUUUGCUCUCUAUGGCUAUAGUUGCUUUUAUCCACCCUGUUGCCAUAGUUGCUUUUAUCCUCUCUAUUGCUAGACUUGCUUUUAUCCACUUUGUUGCCAUAGUUGCUUUUAUCCUCUCUAUUGCUAGACUUGCUUUUGUCCACUUUGUUGCCAUAAUUAUUUUCACUCGCUCUAUUGCCACAAUUGCUUUUAUUCUAGUUUUCUUCAGCUAUCUUCUCUAGUAUAAAUCAAUCAUUUUAUUUUUAUUUUUAUUUUUAUUUAUUUUUAUUUUCCAAAUUCUAAUUCUUCAUAAAUUAUUUUUGAAGCACUGUCAAUUUGCUUGGUCUGCAGUAAUAAAAAUAUUCUUAAUUUUUCAUAAGAAACUUUGUAUUUUGAUUUAUAAGAUGAGAAAAAAUAGAAAAAAUCAAUAAAAGAAAGAGAAUUGAUUUCUUCUAUUUUCUCUCACCUUGUAAGUUCUAAAAAAUCUUAAGCUAAGACUUUUUUAAGCAACUAUUUGGAUAAUGUACAUUCUUCUAAUUCUUAUACAAUUCAAUUUUUUUCUUUAGUUUGCAUUGCUUCUCCCAAAGGUUACCUCUUAUUGUUGCAAGGACCAUCUUCCUAUCCUAAAAAUUCAAUUGAAUCUUUUUUAAAUACUAUUGUAUUGUGUAGCAAUUCAAAACUAUUUAUUCAAAAUAGAUUUAAUUCAUUAGAAUUAUUAGCAAUUGCAAUUCGAAAUGCUAUUGUAUUGUGUAGCAAUUCAAAACUAUUUAUUCAAAAUAGACUUAAUUCAUUUAAAUUAUUAACAAUUGCAAUUUGAAAUGCUAUCAUAUUAUGUAGCAAUUUGCAAUUACAAAUUGAAAUGCUACUGUAUUGUGUAGCAAUUUGCAAUUGCAAUUCGAAAUCUUUAGCCAUUAAAUGAAAAAUAAUAAUUAUAGUAUAGAAGAACUUAAAUGAAAAUAUUCUAAAAAAUUAUUUUAGAAAUAUUAAUAAUAGGCAAGAAGGUAGUAAAAAUUAAUAAGCACUAAUUUUGCAUUCUUAUAACAAAUACUUUUAUUUACUUUAUAAGACCAUAAAUAAAGAAUAACAAAGUAGAUAAAGAAAACAAAUCAUAUAGACAUCUUUAGAAGAGAAUUAAAAUUAAGUCUUAGCAAAAUUUAUUCCAAAAUAUCAAGAAGUAAUAUCUAGAGAAGAUUAGUUAUGCAUUAGGAUCAAAAUCAAACCUCAAGGCACAAAAUCAAGCACCUACAGCAAUUCAAAGAUUCUUUGGUUGAUCAAAGAAUGGAAUUUGAGAGCAAACUAGUGAGAGAUAUUUUAAAAGUUAGUUUCAUGUGACUUAAAGAUAUAUUGAAAUUUUGAAGACUUUUCAAAAUAAAAGAUGUACUUAGUGGUUUUGGAUAUUGAAAACUAAAACGAGAUUUACAAUUUUGAAUGUUGUGUAAAUGUUGUUACGUAUUUAUAGAUUAAAAUUUGUGAAUUUGUCAUUGAGCUUGUUUUUAGUGUAUUUAAAAAAUUUGAUAUGAACUAAAUGAUUAGAUUGAAGGAUAUAAGAAUUUUAUUGGAUUAGGAUCUCGGAUUUUUAAAAUUUAGGAUUAGUAAGGAUUUUUACAUUAAAAAUAAAUUGCUAAUUUGGUUGAAGCAAAAAUUAGUGACAACAAUCCAAAUUUAUAAGUCUACAUACCAGCCAAUAUUUGAAGUAUUUGAACAAUUGAGCAAGGAGAUAUUAUUGCUAAUAGAUCAACAUCUAGAUCGAAGAAGAAAGUCAUCCAAUAUCCAAGAGGUUUAGGAGUUUUAUUAUUAUUAUUAUUACUAUUAUUAUUAUUGAUGUGUUGGAUUUUUAAAUUUUUUUUUAUGCUUAUUAAUGGCUUACAAAUUAAAAUACAGGCAAAAUUUGAGUUGAUAUCAAUGAUUUAAUUAGUAUAUAUUGGAAUUUUAAAACAACUAUAGGAAUUAGUUAGAAUUUAUUAAAUUUUCUUGGAUUUGUUUAGAAUUUAUUUAGAAUUUAAUUAAGAUUUGAUUAGAUUUUGAUUAGAAUUUUAUUAAAAUUUAGUUAAAAUUUAGGUUUUAAUAAGGACUGGUUUAAGAUUUCAUUAGAAUUUGAUUAUAGAUGAUUUAAUAUUUUAUUAAGUUUUUUUUAAAUAUUUGAUUAAGAUUUGAUUAAUAUUUAUUUAAGAUAUUUAUUUUUAAUAUUUUAAAAAUAUAUCUUUUAUAUUUCUUUAAAAAUUAUUUAUUAUAUAUAUUUCUUUAAGAUUAAUUUAUGAUUUUUUAAGACAUCUUUUUAAUUUGUUUCAAGAUAGAUUUGCAUUGUUAAGAUUUAAUUAGAAUUUAUUUAGGAUUUUAUUAGAAUAUUUUGAACUUUCAUAUUGCAAAUUCUAUUUUUCCUUCUACAACCAAGUGCUUGGUAUGUUCUCAAGUACAUUUUACAACAUACAACAAUAGAUUGUCUUUAAUUGAUGAUACUUUUUGUUCCAAUUGAUGUAAUAGGAAAAUUCUUUACUUGCCAUAUCAAAUACAUAUUAAUGCAUGUGCUUUUAAAAUUUUCUAAUUGAUAUUGCGAACAAUCUAACUUUUGUUAGUAGAAUAUUACCGAUUACCAACAAACAUCUAAAGGAUAUAGUCUAGCUUUGUUGAAAAAACACUGAUAGAAAUUGAAAUAAUUUUUUUAUAGAUCUAUUGUUAGAAAGAAUUUUUUUAUUUCUAUUCUUCUUUUAUAUUUUUUUAAUACUUGUUCUAUAUAUAAAAUCCAAUGAGAGAGGAAUUGAAAAAGAACAAAGAUGAAAAUGAUAUUGAUUGUGGAUCUUAUUCAUUUAUUCCAUACAAAAAAUCUAAGAAGAAAAGAAUUUGAGGAAGUGAAGGUGAUGUCAACAUUGAAUGUAGAUCUUAUGUACUUGUUCCUCUUGCAAAAUUUAUUUAAGGAGAGAUUAGAAGGAGUGAAGGUAACUUUAAUGUCAAAUAUAGAUCUUGUGCUUUUGCCUUGUAUACAAAAUUUGUUAAAAGAAAAAUUAGAGAGAGCAAAGGUGACCAUGAUUUUGAAUGUAGAUCUUGUAUAUGAUUUAAGAUUUUUUGUAAAGAUAACCAUUUUGAUUUUUAAUUUAGAAGUACAACCAAUCUCUUUUUUUUUACUUUGCAUUUCUUCUUCAUUUGUAUAAGUACAUGAUUAAUAACAAGAAUAUUAUAUCCUACCAUGAUUUUUAUUCCUUCAUGUUGUGCCACAACUUUUGGAUGAUAAGUUGUAAAAGCGUCACAUGUAUGCUUUAGAAAGAAAGAAAACAAAAACUUUACUACAUCAUAUGGUACAAGAUUACUUGUACACUUAUACUAUAGAAUAAAAGUAAACACAUAUUUUACUAUAUCAUAUAUUAUAAGAUGACUUGCAAGCUUUCAUAAAGUUGUUGCAUUGACAUGAUUGAAACUAAUUAGGUUUGUGGUUAAUAGCUAAUGAAUAGGCUAUCCAUAUGAUUGAGUUGCUACUAUGGAAUUAUAAUUGAGAAGUAAACUUGAAAGAGUGCAUUCUUUUAGGAAUAAUAGAAUAGCAAAAAUAAUUAGAAAAAUAUGGCUAAAAAUUACAUAUUAGUGUCGAUAACAAAGUGCACAAUUAUAAUGAUUAAUUAUAGGAUUCCAAAAUAUUGUUAGUUGUGUCUAUAUUAUGAAUAGUUAUUGCAAUAUGGCCGCUCAUUGGAAGAGGAAGCCUUGAACUUACAAGAAAUAAAGCAAAGAAGUUUGAAGCAAGAGUGAAAUUUAAUGUAUUAAAGAUAAUAUUGGCAACAUAUUUAGCCAAUUUUUAAAAGAGGGUACUAAAAUUUGAUACAUAAAUAUCAAGAUUGUUUUAAAUAAGAUAGAAAGUACUACAUGAUUGGAGGGAUUUGAGAAAACAAAGGAUAAGUUUAAAAAAGAAGAAGUGGAAUACAUUACAAAAGAAAGAAGGUUUAGAACAAAGAAAAGAAAAAAUACAAUAAGUUUAGUGGAAUUUUUGUCUACAAUAAGUAUAUUCUAGAUUGCCAAAGUUGAAUUGUAUGCCUUCAGUAUUAUCCGAGUCAACUUAGUCUACACAAGUUGAACCUUUAUUAAUGGAUCAAAGUCAUUCUUGCCAUUGCCAUAGAUAUGCACUCUUAUGAUAGUUAUAGAUUGGGAAUGAAUGCUUGGUGAAUUAGUGGGUAAGACGUAAAGAGUCACGUGAAUUCUUGUGGUUGAAAAAAUAAGAUUUAGAAUUGAUGCAAUAUUAGGAUUAAGGUAGACAAACGUCUUUCUAAUAGCAUUGGUGGCUUCUUUCAACAUAUUGAUUUUUUUUGGUACCUUUGGCUUUUUAAUAAGAAUAGUCUUAUUUUUAAAAAUGAGUAAAUUUUCCUAAGAUUUAAUUAUAUUCAGUAUAAUUUCUACUACUAUUUUAUUGAUUAUUUUUGGCUUUUUUGAAUUUGAGUAUCUAAGAGAGCUUAUUAAGAGUUCUUGAGGUGCAUGUACUUACUUUGACUUGUUUGGAGGGCCAACUCUAGAUUCUACCAAAUUUUGUUUUAUGUUUUUAUUUUAUUUGUACCUCCUUAUUUCUAUCUAUAUCAUUCUAAAUACUAAGGUAAAUUAUGUAAAUCCAUGUAUUAUAUAUAUUAAAAUUUAUCAAUUGAUUAUAUAUACAAUGCUAAAAUCAUAAACUUAAGAAGUAUUGUAGUUUGUAAUCUAUGAUUAAACUGUACCAUUAAUAAAGAAGAGAGACAAAUAGGUUCAAAGAAUUGAAUACAGAGUACUAAAAAGAUCUAUUAGUUUUGAAAUUAUAAAAACUUGGUCCAAAUAAUAGAGUAGCAAAGAAUUUUACUAUUAAUAAGAAAAAAAAAAAAAACAAAUAGAUGGAAAAAAUUUACAACAGAUUAUUAAGAGGGUCCAUUAAUUUUGUUGCUGCAAAGACAUAAUCUAAGUAAACAAAGUGGUAAGGAAUUAUACAAGUAACGUCAUUGAAAAGGAAGUAGGUUUUGUCAUUAAGAAGGACUAUUUAAGCUCUCAUGAGCAUAUAUGUGUCAAAUUGAAGUAAUUGAAUAUGAUCAAUUAGAAUCUACUCAUGUAAUUUUUGUUGAUAUUGCAAUAUAAUAUACUCUCCUUGCACUUGUAUUAAUAUGCAUGGUCAAAAAAAAUUAGCAAAUGUACCUUGCAUAUUUAAGCAAUGAUGGUAAAAAAUACUUACAUAAUGAGAUAUGUAAUGGUUUAACAUUUGGUUUAAGAUUUAAUAUUUAAAAUAAGAUUUCAUAUAUAUUAUUUUAGAUUUUUAGAACUUAAUUAUAUAAAUCAAAUUUUAAUUAAUAUUUAGGUAUAGAAUAUAUUUAUAUUAUAUGAAUUAAUUAAAUUUUUUAAUAAGAAAUUUAUAUUUAGAAUAAUUAUUUAAUAUAUUAUAAAAGAAGAUAAAAUAAGAUAAUUUUGUAGCUAUUGACAUUAUAGCCAAAGUAGAGAUAUUCUACCACAAUGAAUAAUUAGAGAAAGUAAGAUUUGUCUCUAAAAUAAGAUUCUAAGCUCAAUUUUCUUAAUAUUUGCCUUUAAAAUGAAUAUACUAAAUUCCACAAAUUCAUUGUCAAAUUUAUGUCAAUAAUUGAAUGCGACUUGAAGAUGCAUAAGAUAAUUUACCAAUAUGAGAUUAGUAGCAUAACAUAUUUUAUAAUUUAUAAUAUAUCUUUAUGCUUACCUAUGUUGCUUAUAUUAUAUAAAAUUAUAUUUACUUAUUUACUUUUGUAAUAUGAAGAGUACUUAGUAAAUGAUAUUAUAAUUAUUUUUAAAGAAUUUAAAUAUGUAUUAUCUAUAAUGGACACAAAUGUGUGUUAAAUUAAUAUAUCUCCUUUGUACUUAGUUUAAUAAACAAAGUUCUUGUAUUUCCUUGCUUUGCAUUUAGAAACAAUUAUUUGACUUAUGUUUUCAAAUGUCCAUCUCUAAAAAGAGUGGUGUCAUGCUUAUGUUAUGACAUUAUGAAUCAAUGCCUUGCAUUUAGUAAAGAAGAUGCUCCCACAAAAAUGGCGAGAAUUAGAUUAAAUUGUUUUAUUGCUUAUGUUGUUGCUAUCAUAUGAUAAGUAUUUUGUACCUAUAUAAACUAAAAAUUUAUUAUUGUUCAUAUUUUAUUUUAAUUUUGGAAUCAUUUGCAUGGACAUUGCAAAUAUAAGUUAGAAGGUUUUUUUCAACAUUAAUUAAUUUAUAAUAAUAAGAAUAUUUUUCCUAUUAUAAUAUUAUUGCUGAAAAUUUGAUAAUAAUAUCAAAGAUUGUCAUCAAUAUAAUGCCAAUAAUUGAAAUUUGAUGCUUCACUAGAUACAAAAGAUUGUAGUCAAUAUGAUGCAAAUAAUCAAGGUUAUCAUUUGUAUGAUGCUUCACUAGAUUCUACAUCGUAUUUCUUCAUUUUAGCUAACUUACAAUGAUGGCUGCUUGAUAAUAGAUGCAUGAUGAUGAAUGCACUAUAACUUGCUUCUCCUAUUGUCACUUGUUAAUUUUGCAUAAAUUGUAAGUUGUCAUUGUAAGCAACACCUUCAACCUAUCACUUAUUUAUUUUUGCUUUCUUCUUAUAAAUACAAUUCAACUAUAGACUUUCAACUAAAAAAGCCACAGAUAUUGGUAAAGAUGCCACAAGCUUAAUUAACAGUCAUGUUGAAAUGAAACAAAGAUUGCAAUAAAAUUGAAACCUAUGUUUAAAAAAACAUAAAAAUAUGAUCUUUGAAACUGUCAAAAGUGGCUAUUAUUAAUAUGACAGCAAAUUAAUAUCAUGGCCACAUAAUUAAAAAGAAAUUACAAAAGAAUUUAGAGGCUUAAUUCAAAGAAGAUUUAAAGGCAAUAUCUUGGAUUUUUGGAGGUUCUUGUAUACUUUGUAUUAUAUUUUAUAUGAUUAAUAGAACCUUAUUCUAGAAAAAAUAUGUGCUACAUUGUAUUUUAUCUACCUUCUACUCUUCAAUCAAUUUAUAUAAUGGGCAUAAGUGGUGACUUAGGAACAAUCUAAAUCUGGAUGUAAACUAGAGCAAGUUAUAUAUUUCUUAAGUGGAUUCAAUUCCUAUUAGGAUAUUCUUAGAUUUUUUUUUGGAUCAUAUCAUCAUAUUGUUAAUGACAAGAAUUCAAAGAAGAUAAAUAAACAAUUGAGAUAAGUAUCAAAGAGAGAUGAAUUUUUUUUAAUAGAAAGUAUGUAUAUACAAAAAGAAAUUAGAAUAGCUAUUACCAAAGACUAAAAAUCUAGAGAUUCUUGAAAUUAGAUUAGAAGGAAGAAAGGAAUUGAUAAGAAUGAAAAAAGAUUCACUCUUGCUUCCAUAUAUAUUAUCUAACUAAGAGUUAUAUGAUAACAUUCUAAAAGACCUUCAACACAUAUAUAAUUUGUAAAACACAUGUCUUAACUUGCAAAGCAAGUUUUUAAUAUGUAUACAAAAUUAUUAGCUUGUAUUACAAGCUAUCAAUACAUAUUAAAUCCACUUAUUAAAUACCUUUUUACAUAUCAAAAGGUGUACAAGUUCAAAAAAAAAAAUAUUAUAUUAUAAUAUAAUUAUUUUUAAAAAUAUUAAUAAUAUUUAAGAGAUAUUAAAAACCUCAAUGUUUAAUUCCACUAUUUUUGUAAUCAAAGUUCUUACUUAUUUUGUAGGACCACAAAAAAAGACAUUAUAGGAUAUAUAAAAAAACUUAAAAAUUACCUUUAAAUUGAAGUUAAAAUAGUAGUAUAUAAAUAUUAAAUAAAUAUUUUAAAAAUUAUAAUUUUUUAAAAAUAGUAGAAAUUAAAGCUUAAAAUAUAAAUAUAAACAUAUAUAGAAAAAAUAUCAAUUUUUUUGUAGAUAAAUUAAUAAAAUUAAUAAAAAAAUCUUUAAAGUAAUUCUAUAAAUAUUAUGCACAUUUGAAUUGGAUUUACAAUGACUCUAAAAGCACUAAUUAAAUUUAGGCUUUUUAUUUUGAUGUCACUAUUUUGAAUAAUAAAUUAAAAUCUAUAAAUUUAAAAAUAAUUAAAUUUUUUAUAAAAGAUUUAGUAUUAGAUUUUUUUUAUAGAUUUGUGAAUAUACUUGUAUUAAAUACAUGUCAUAAAUUUUAGUAAAAUUUUUGGUUGAAUAUAUUAUUAUUAAAACUUAAGUAUGUUAAUAUAUCAAUAAUUACUAAUUCAAAGAUUGAUAAAAGUAUCAAUAUUUUGUAAAGAUUUUCUAACUAAAUUGAGCAAUAAAUAGAUAGUAUAGUAGAUGACUUGAAGUAUAAAACUUAUAUAAAAAAAUACACAAAAAAAUAAUAGAAAGAAGAGACCUUAAACUUAAGAAUUCAAUACUAAUAUUAAAAGAAGAUGUCAUCUAAUAUUUGAAUAAUGUGUUAAUCAUCAAAUUGACUCACUAAUUCUUUUAAGACAAAAGAAUAUAUGUGGAGUGCCAAAAUUACAAUUUUUAAGUGAAGAUGUACUUAGAGGAUGUUAAAUGAGAAAAAAUAGUAUUAGUAGAGAAGAAAUGGAGUCUUAAUAAGUCUUAGAGGCAAUUAACUUAGUUGAUUUAGUAUUUUUUAUUUAUUAUUGAAUAUCAAAGAAUAUUUACUAAGGCCUAUAUUUAUAUUGACCUUCUAUCUAUACAUAUUAUUUAUAAGAAAAACUAUAAAUAUUAGUUAGUAGUUAGAAGAAGUAUGAGAAAGAACCUCAUGUCUUUUUAGUUAGUUAUGUAGAAAGUAAGAUUUAUAGUAGAUUAAAAUUGAUUUUAUUACUAUAAAAAUUAUCAAGAUAGAAAAUUAUAGCCUUAAACUGAUAUUAGUAUUAUAUAACUAUUAUAGGAAUUUUUAAAAUUUAUUUAGAAUUUCUUUAAAAAAUUUUAGGAAUUUUUAGAGCAAUUUCUAAGACUUUGAUAAAAAUAAGAUUUAUCACUUUCGGAGCCAUUAUGAAGAAAUAGAACAAGAUUUGAAGGCCAUCAUAGGUUUCUAGGCUAGUUGGAUGUUUUUAAACACCAUGGUGAAGUCAAAAAUACAAAAUUAUGGAUUUUACUAAUAGAAAACAAGAAGACCAGCAGCUAGUUUAGUCCUUGAAAGAAGGGAUGUGCACAAGUCCUAUAUAGGUUGUAGCACCUUGAAGACAGUGAGGAAGAUAAGACUAAGACCUCAUAGCCGCUCUUAAGAACUGAUAUAUACUACUUGUGAGCCUUGGUGAGGCACGAAUUCUUGAUUUCUUAAGCAAGUUAUUCCUAAGGUAAAAAUUAUUUACUUAACUUUUUACUUAUUUACUUAUUAUUUUUCAAACCUUCAUAACUUACUCAUAAUAACUCAAAUUUACAUUUUUCUUACACUAUUUCAAAGAAAAAAAUUAUAAAAAUAUAUUUUUUACUUUUAUCUUUUAUUUUUUAUUGAAUAAAAAUUCAAUGAAUAGACUGUAACUAGUUUUGUAGUAUACAAUUGCUUGAUUGCACUUGUUCCACUUGUUUUGUGUUUUUCUUCUUUUAUUCUUAUUCUUGCUACUUUCACUUUACACCACCCAUUACAAGCAACUCUUAAUGGAGGCCAUCUUCUAAUUAGGUAAAAGAAUGAAUUUUACACUUACAUAAUGUUUUGAUUUCAUUAGUUGUUUAUAAUUUUUAAGAUUUAAGAUAAGAGUUGAUAGGAUUUAAAAUCAACUAAUUUUAGGAUUUUUAAGAAGAUCAAGUUUAUUAAGAUAAGUAUUUUAAAACAUUUUAUUUAUCUUUUAUAUUAUAUAAAGAGUUUUAAAAUUUAAAUAAAUCUUUUUUAGAACCAAAUAUCUAUUCUAUUUUAAAUUUUAUUUAUAAUACAAUGUCUAUAUUAUAAUUUUCAUAUUUAUGCCUAUUAUAUUUUGAUUGAAAUUAAGUUGUAUGUAGUUUGAUUCAAAAUUAUAAUUAUUAUAAAAUCCUCCUUGCUAUUGGUUUUACCUACAACUUAUUAACUUUGGCAUAAGAAUUCUAUUGAGUUAGUAUUGCAAAUUAGCAUUUGACAAAAAAUAAAAUAAUCCAUAAAUAUUGAAGGUGGUCUUUAUGUCUUAAUCAUCUUAUAUUGAAGUUUGAUUAUACUUUAAAUUGUCAAUCCAAGAACUAACUAUCAAGGACAUGAAUCAUAAACAAACAAAACUUAGAUACAUUCUCAGGUUACUUCAAAAAAAUAGAUUUUUAUUCAAAAUUAGUAUAAUAUUAAAAUUGAAAUAACUACUACUAAAAAAAAGAAGACUAGAGACUCUUAAAAGAAUAUUAAGGAUUAGAAAGGCAUUGACAAGAUUAAAAAAAACUUCACUCUUACAUCUCUCUUUCUUUCUUUUUUUCUUUAUAUAUAUAUAUAUAUAUAUAUAUAUAUAUAUAUAUAUUUAUAUUAUUUAAUUAAAACCUAUAUAGUGAAAUUUUAUAGGACGUUCAACUAUCACAGAUAUACAUAUUUAUCCUAAUAUUUAUCUAUAUGAAUAAAUAGAAGUACUUAAAAUUAGAUUUUAUUUCAUAAUAUUUUUCUAAAAAAGCUUCUUAAAAGUUGUAUAAAUACUGCUUUGAUUUAAUAUAUAUUUGUAGUUGAUUGGUAGGUUAGAAACUUGGUCAAUAAGUUAACUACGUAUUGAUAGGUUGCAAAACAAACCAACUUUAUUGUGCACAUACAAGAAACUUAUUUUGCAAGUUAAGAUACAUGUCUUGCAAAGUCAACACGUUUUAGACAUCUUAUAGGACACUACCAUGUAGCUUCUAGUUAAGAAUACAUAUGGAGGUAAGACUUCUAUUUUUAUUAUUGUAUUUUGAAGGUUACAAAUUGUCUAUAUUUAAAUAAAUUAUUUAAUUUUUUAACAUUCAUAUCUUCCUUAAAAAAGGCAGAUUAUUUCUCUUUGUAGAAAUUUUCAUUUGAUAUUAGAGAUUUUGAAUUAUCUUCAUUUAAUUUGACUUAAAGAUUUAUUAAGUUAUUUAAAAGAGAAGAAAAUAUCAUGGAUACUAUACUUGACAAAAGUGAGAAUAAAUUUGCAACUAUUAUUGAUCUUGGAGAAUUUGUCAAUACUCUUAGAGUAGAAAUUUCAAGCAUCACAAGUGCCAACCAUGGAAAUAUUAAUCCUAUGCCUAUAGAAGAAGUUUAGAAUCUACAUGAAGAAAUUGUUCAAUUGAAGAAAAAAAAUAAAACAACCUUAUAAUUAAAUUUAUGAAGUUUUUCUUCUACAAGUAUAAUAAUUAUAAGCAUUAGUAUGCUCAAGAAGUUUGAUGGAAUAAGAACAAAAUUUUGAGGAUUUUUGCAACAAGUCAAGGUCUAUUUAAGAUUGAAUUUCUUUCAAUAUCUUGAUGGAAUUACUCAACUUAGAUUCAUAGGUACACUUUUAUUUAGAAGUUUUCUUUCUUGGUUUGCACCUCUCAUAGAAAAGGAUUCACGACUCUUUUAUGAUUUGAAUUCAUUCUUAGUAGUGUUUAUAGCCACCUUUGGAGAAAGUAAUUGAAAAAGUGUAAUAGAAACCAAGCUCUUAUCUUUAAAAUAAAGAUUAUAAUCAGCCACCAUAUAUAUUGUUAAAUUCCAAAACCUUACUUGUGACAUGGAUUGGAAUAAUAAAACCUUCAUCAAUCAAUCUUAAUAUGGAUUGAAGGAUAAUAUCAAAGAUUUGUUAUUGGCAAUUCUAAAAAUAAAAUCUUUGAAAUAAUUUAUUGCUCAAGUCAUUGCAUGUGAUAAUCAAUUAUUUGAAAGACAUCAAGAAUAAAAAUUUGGUUGGAAAAGAAUAAGCCAAGUAAUGAUGGCAUGUCUCAAGUUUUCAAAAAAUUAUUCAUCAAAGCCAAACCAAUGCAAAUUGAUACAAUAUGUUCUAAACUCCUCACUGAAUAUGAAAAGAUUUGAUGUUAUUAAGAAGAUAUGUGCUUAUAUUAUGGAAAAACUAAACACACUGAUCCAUAUUAUCUAAAGAAGCAAUGUGAUCACAAAAUAAGGAGCCUCAUUGCCAAAAAAGACAAUGUAUCAAAAAACAAGUUUCUUCAAGUACAAUAGGAACUAUACAAUAGGAAUCAUGUACAACAUUUGAUAAAGAUUAUAUUCUCUUUUUAGAUUACUCAUCUUAUUUUAUAAUAAAUGUGUAUUUAGGACCUAAAAAUUAUAAAGUCUUUACAUUAUUAGAUUCAAGAGCCUCAACUUGUUUUAUAGACAAAGAUUUGGUGAAAAAACAAGAAAUAUCUUCAGUCAAGAAAACUAAAUCCAUACAGGUAGAAGUUAUAGAUGGUUGUUUUUUGUCUUUUGGAGAUGUUAUUCAUAAGAUUGUUCCUUUAGAUAUAGCAAUUAAAGAUCAUAAUAGUAUAAUAAUAUUUAAUAUAAUAAGAUUUUUUUUAAUCUAUUUAUUUUAGGAUUAUUUUGAUUAAAAAAUAUAAUCUUUAAAUAGAUUGAAUUUCUUGUAACCUUGAAUUUUCUUCUAGUUUAAUUCAAAAUUUUGAUAAUAAAGUAAAAAUAGACAAGCUUAAUAUAUCCAAAGCUUUAUUACUAGAUGUAAGAGCUUUCAUGCAUGUAACAACAGAAAGGCCAUCUUUUGCUAUAUAUGCCACAUUCAUUUCUAAUGGUAGAAAAAUGUUAAGUAUUAUUUCUAGCUAGUAUUAAGAUUUUUAGAUCGUUUUUUUAAAAAAAAAAUACAGAUAUUCUUUGAAAACAUUGACCCUAUGAUUAUAUAAUUGAUCUAUAAGAAAGAACUCAACCACCAUUUAGACCAAUCUAUAGCUUAUUGUAAAAUAAGUUGGCUAUAGUAAAAGAAUAUAUUGACAAAAACUCGGCUAAGAACUUUAUAAGCCACUCAAAAUCUCUAAUAAGAGCUCUUAUUUUAUUUGUGAAGAAAUAAGAUAGAUCUUUGCAGAUGUGCAUAGACUAACAAGGACUUAAUAAGAUCACCAUCAAGAAUAUGUAUCCCUUAUAUUUGAUUUUAGGAUUUUUUGACCAAUUCAAUUAAGCAAAGAUCUAUACAAAAAUAGAUCUACGAGAAGCAUAUAACUUGGUCUGCAUUAAAGAAGAAGAUGAGUGGAAGACUACUUUUCAAAUUAAGUAUAGAAAUUUUGAAUAUAAUUUCAUGCCUUUUGGACUCACAAAUAUAUCAAGUACUUUUCAACAUCUCAUGAAUGAUAACUUUCAUGAGUAUCUUGAUGAUUUUGUUGUUUGUUAUUUAGAAAACAUUCUAAUCUAUUCUAAAAAACUAAAAGAAUAUGAACUUCAUAUUUGUUGUGUAUUACAAAAAUUUAAAGAUGUAAGAUUAUAUGCAAAGAUAAAAAAGUAUAUAUCCUAUACUAUUUAGGUUGAUUUUUUAAGAUACAUCAUUUUGAAUAAAAGAUUAAUGAUGGAUCAUAAGAAGGUCCAAACUAUCAUAGAUUGGAAGGUUCCAAAAGUAAUUAAAGAUGUAGAAUGUAUUUUAAAAUUUACCAAUUAUUAUCAAAUCUUCAUCAAGAACUUUUGUCAAGUUACUGCUCCUCCUAAAUAUUUGACAUGUAAAGACAAACUUGAGUAAAGCAAAGAAGCAAAAACAUCUUUUGAAGCCUUGAAGUUAAUAUUUAUUUUUAUAUCAAUUUUAUAUUAUGUUGAUUUUUCUACAACAUUCUUUAUGGAAAUAGAUGCAUCAAACUUUAUUAUGGAUGUUAUUUUAUUAGAAUGGAAGCAAAUAAUAAACUCUAUUCAGUUAUUUUUUUUCUAAUAAUUUUUUAAUACUUGCGAUUAAUUACAAGAUCUAUGACAAAGAACUUCUUGUAAUUAUGGAUUAACUUUAAGAAUAGCAUUAUUAUGUAGAAAGCACUUCUAUUCUAAUUAUUAUUUAUAUAGAUCACAAGAAUCUUAAAUAUUUUAUAUUUUUAUGUGUUUUGAAUUAUUGUCAAAUCCAUUGGAGUAUGUCUUUAUGAAGAUUUGAUUUUAAGAUCACCUAAAGAUCCAAAAAAAAAACUAAGUUUAUUAGAUGCCUUUUUAGAUGUUCUUAUCUUGCACCAAAAGAAAAAAAAUAUAGCUUUUGAUUAAUAAAGAAUGAUUUUCUUGAAGCCAAAGUAUUUUCAUCUUCAAAUAAUAAAAUCAACAUUACUUAUUGAUUCAAUUUUUUUCAUGCAAAUUCAAUCAAGUAUGUCUUCUGAUUGUCUUGUUGAUGAUAUCAUGAAUAAUUCUUCUAAGUCUCAUAAUACUUCUAAAUUCAAGUUUAACAAUAAUCCAUUCUACUUUGAGGGAUGAUUAUAUAUUUUAGAAGGCAAAGUAUGAUUAUGUAUUUUUUAAGCUUGUCAUGACUUUCUAAUAAUCAAAUAUUUUGGAUAUAACAAGACUUUAGAGCUAAUAUCUAGAAAUUUUUUGUGACCUCAAAUGUAGAAGAUACUCAAAGACUUUGUACAAUCAUAUGAUAUUUGUUCAAGAUCCAAAACUCCUUUUCAUAGACAUUAUAGACUUUUUCAGCCAUUACCUAUUUCGAAAUAACUAUGGUCUUAUGUUUCUAUGGAUUUUAUUACAAAUCUUUUAAUCUUAGGUUUGUAUGAUCCUAUAUAUGUGAUAGUAGAUUGUUUUAUCAAGAUAGCAAAUUUUUUACCAUGUACAAAAUCUAUCAUAGGUGAAGAAAUGGCUAAGCUUUUUCUUGAUAAUAUUUAUUGCUAUCAUAGAUUACUUAAUGAUAUUAUAAUGAAUAAAAAGACUCAAUUUAUAUCAAGAUUUUGAAGUAUUCUUUUUAAGAUUUUAGACGUAGAUAUGAAGCUCUUUGUCUUUUCAACUUCAAAUUGAUGAGCAAAUGAAAUAAGUGAAUUAAGUUUUAGAGUAGUAUAUGAGGUAUACCAUCAAUUAUCAUCAAGAUGAUUGAAUAAUUUUUUUGCCAUUAAUAGAGUUUAUGUAUAAUAAUUUGAUAUAUUCAUAUACUUAACAAACAUCUUUUUUUUUCCAAUUAUGAUUAUCAUCUAUGAUUUGACACUUUUGGCUUUUCAAAAGUUGAUAAACUUAUGACAGAAGAUUUGAUAAAUUACUUGUUAAAACUACAUGCAACAAUGAAGGAAUAAUUAAAGAAAGUUCAAGAAUGGCAAAAGAUUAAUGUAGAUGCCUAUUAGAAAGAACAACCAUAAUUCAAUGUGGAUAAUAAGAUAUGGCUACUUCAUCAUAAUAUGAAGACUACUUGUUCUUGUAAUAAGUUGGACUAUUACAGACUUGGACUUUUUUCUAUUAAUGAACAAGUCAAUCCUAUUGCUUAUCAAUUAUAUCUAUCAAAAUCUAUGGAGAUCUAUCUCAUAUUCCAUGUGUCUCAUCUUAAACCAUAUAAGACAAUAAAGAAGAAAAAUGCCACCUCUUCCUAUAUAAGUAGAUAAUAAUCAAGAGUUUAAGGUAGAAGAAGUUUUAGAUUCAAGGGAACAGCAAAAUAAGUUAAAAUAUCUAAUUCAUUGGCACACAUAUAUUAGUAUAUACACAUAAGAGCUAACAAAAAAUAUUACAAAUGCAACAAAGAAGGUUAAAUUUUUUUUAUUAAUGACAUCCAUUAAAAUCAAGAUAAAGAAUAACAAUUCUUUGCUAUAAAAGAAACAAGUUCCAAAGAAGAUAAUAUUCUAUCUUCUACUCUUUUUUGGUACUUUUGUACAUUUGUAGCACUAAUAAGAUGGAAAAUCAACAACUAGUAGAUUUAAUUCAAAAGCUAUUACAUAUUGACUUACCAAAUGAAACAUUGCAAUAGUUACAACUUUUAAGACAAUAUAAUUGAAAAGAAGAUCCUUAAGAAUGACAUUUCUUUUUUCAAAUAAAUGGCAAAAUACAACGUUGUUGUAUGGUGUGAUUUUCUAUUUCAGAAUACAUUGGAUAUCUAGCUGUAGAGAGUUUAGCUUUAAUUUAUUGGGCAAGUUCCAAUAAGUGAUGUUUUUUUUAUUAUAUAGGCCAAAGAAAUAAAAUAGUAUUUAAAGAUAUUUUAUUGAUAAAAUCCUUUAUAUUUAAGCAGCUGUAUAUAUAAGGCUUUCUAAAGUAUCUAGAAAUGCCCUAACGUCUUUUAUUAUAUCAAAUCAUAACUAACUUUUUGCAAAGAAAUUUGAUUUCUCAUAAGCUCAAAGAAAAUCCAAAAUCAGCUUACAAAUAUCUAUUUUAUUUUAAUAAUUUUGAUAUUGCUCUAUACUUCCAUCUUUAACAAAUAUAUAAAGUCUUGGCUCCCUAAAAUCCUUUAACUUUGUAUAAAAUGCCCAAAUUGUGACAAAAUCCCUUCAAAAUAUUAAUUAAUUUAUUAUCCUUAAUCCAUAGUAAUUGUAAAUUAUUUAAAGGUUGGAUUAAAAAUUAAAAAUUAAAAGUUAAAAGUAAAGUUUAAAAAGUAAAAAGAAAUUAAAGGUUAAAAAAUAAAAAAAUAAAAGUAAAAAGUAGAAGAUUAAAAGUUAAAAAUUAAAACCAAAAGUGAAAUUUAGAAGUUAAAAGUUAAUGUAAAAAUAAAUAAAUAAAUAAAUAAAAUUAAAAAUAAAAUAAAAAAAAUUAUAAGCGGAAGUACUUUGACAAUGCUUAAGGAUUGAGGGAAGUAUCCCCCUUUUAUUCCAAAAUUUUUCAAAAAUUCAAAUUAGCUCUAAAUCUAGUGAUUUUUAUUGAGUUGUAAAUUUAACUUAAAAAUUCUCCUGCUCCAAAAUUUUCGUGGCAAUCUAGUACGUGAGCUGCGAGCAAUGCUUCUUCAAAGUUGGAUUAUUGGACCUACUCCUGCAGCCGACCCCCCUUCACUCAAAAAUUUGUUAAAAAUUAAAAAAAAAUUCAAAUUUAAAUUUUUUUUCAAAUUUAAUGCAAUAUAUGCCAAUUGAAGCUCAGAUUGAAGAUACUUGUACUUCCAAAAUUUCAAAAUCAUCCCAUAAGAUGGCACUGAGAAAUGCCUUUUCAAAUUGUGUUAUUGAAACUACUAAGGCAGCCGCCCUUUGCACUCAAAAAUUCACCAAAAAUUCGGUUCAACUCCAAAUUGAGUAGGCCUUAGCUCAUUGGAAAGCUAAUAACAAGAGCUAUGUGAUGAAAAAUCUUCACUUAAAAAUCAUAAAAAACCAUAGACUGAUUGAGAACAAUUUGAGGCCCCUCAAACCCCUUUGACUAUGGAAAUGGUUGGUGACCACUAAUUGCAAAGGGGCGCCUUUUAAGCCACAAAGAGCACCACCCAUGACAAAAAAAUAAUGCUUAUAUGUUUUUAAAGUUCACAAUGAGAUCUAAGAUCAAAAAAGAAGCAAAAAAAUAAGAUUAGGAUUAGAGUUGAGACCACACUUUGGCAUGGCUUCGCUUUCAUCAAAAGAAAGAGAGAGAGAGGCUUGGGAAACCAAACCACUCUUAUACAAUUGUGUAGUGGCUUGUGAAAGGGUGGCGACAUCUCCACUCUUGAUCUCUAAGAUCCCUAAUGUAGAUCUACGGCCUUCCUUCAUCCAAGAGCUAAUUUCGUGACUAAUACUGAUGGAAAAAAAAAUAUUUUUUGAUAAAUCUAACUUAAUCAUUGUGUUUAAAACACCUUUUUAGGCUCAGAAUGGCUAUUCACAUGCAUCAAUCUAUGCUCCUUUAUAACUUUUAUGAAGAUUUUUUUAUUUACAAGGAUUUAGGCAAUAUUUGUAAAACUCUUCAAAAAAUGAGAUUUUCAUUUCUCUACUUGUACUUCUGAAGGAAAGUAUGUUGAUCUUGUUUUCUUUACUCCACAUGGUGCAUUUGAUGCCUCCAUUGCAUUUGAAAGGCUUCCAUAAAUUAGAAGAAUCACUUUGCUGCUUGGAUUUGUUGAGUUUAGAAAAAAUCUUCAAACCCAUCAUAAUUAAACCUCACUAUUUUUUUUUUUUUUGACACCAAGACUACUUCCUUUGUAAUUCUUCUAUUACUAGCUAUCUAAAAAAAUAUAGUAUUUAUAUUUUUUUUCUUACUAAACUCUAUCCUAGAUUGCAUGUCUGCUAUUAACAAUCUAUUUUCUAUUUUUUCCUAAAAUUCUAAUAUUAAUUCAUAAAAUUUAUGUUUUAAGCACAAUAAGUACAUUUUUUAUACUAAAUAUCAAAGUGAGUCAAUUCAAUGGCUCAUACAUAUGGAUAUCUUAACUACUCUUUUUGGUAAAAAAAUCUCUCUUCAAAUCCUUGUUUUUAUAAGAUUUAUGUAACAUAUGAGCUAAACACCAAAUAAAAGAAACAAAAUAAGAUUUUCAGAGUUACCAAUGUCUAAUAAAAGUGAUGCUAAAUAUAUAAAACUAUUAUUAAUAUAAAAUCAAUCUCAAUAAUAGCCCUUUUAAACUAACCAUUUCAAAUUAGUAAUCUAAUUAUAUUUUGUAACCAAUAAAAUUUAAUAAUAUGGCUCUCACCACAUUGUAUAGUAAAUUAUAUAUAUGCAUCAUUUUCAUAAAGUAACCAAAGUACAAUACAAUAAUGUAUUUGAUAUUAUGACAUUGAAGAGACCUUGAAUGUUUGAUGAUUUUAUUAGAAGUCAAAAUGACUCUUGACAAUAUUUUAAAUAUUUUAUUUAAAGGAAGUUAUGAAGGCCUCAAUAACAAUCAAAUAGUAGGGUGGUCUUUCUGCCUUGGUAUGAGAUACUAUUGAUGGUUAAGAGGACCUAUCAACUAUCUUUAAAGAGAACAAAGAUCAAAAUAUGUGGAAAAUACAAUUUGCCACAUCUUAGAUUUUUUCAACAUAUGAUGAACACUCUUCAUAGAACUCAUCUCUAGAAGGGGAGGUAAUAUCAUUGUCACAUAUAUUUACUCUAAUAUUUAUCUAUAUGAUUAAGUAGAAGUAGGUAAAAAUAAAUUUAUUUUAUGAUAUUUUUUAGAUUAGCUUCUUAGAAGCUUCAUAGACAUUGUUUUGACUUUACAUGUGUUUGUAGUUGAUAAGUUAGAAACUUGGUCAACAAAUUAACCAUCUAUUGAUAGCUUGCGGAACAAGCUAACUAUGUGGCAUAUAUAUAAGAAACUUGCUUUGCAAGUUAAGAUAUGUAUGUUGCAAAGUCAAUACGUUUUAGAGGUCUCAUACGGCACUACUAGAAAGCUCUUAAUUAAGAAUAUAUAUAGAGGCAAGAGUGAAGCCUUCUUCACUCUUGUCAAUACCUUUCUAGUCUUUAGACUUAUUUCAAGAUUUUCUAGUCUUCUUAUCUUUGGCAAUAGUCAUUCUAAUUUAAUAUAAUAUCAUCUUUGAAUGACUUUCUAGUUCUUUUGAAUGACAUAAGAAUAUAUUGAGGAUUUCUUUCUUUGAGCUUCAUGUUCUUCAUACCAAUACAUGUCUUUGUUGAAAAAAAUGUGUCUAAAUUAUAAAACAUGUUUUAUAUAUAUGCCACAUGAAAAAAUUCUAUCAUAAAUGGCCAAUAUGCACAAUAUAAGGCCAACUUAUUGGGAAAAUUUUCAUCCUUUCAAUCACCUAUAAACACAUAUAAAGUCAAAUCAUGUCUUUGAAACUUCAAGAAGUUUUUUACAAGAUACUAUCAAAUCUAUUUAUUUAUAAUUACUUAUAUUUAACUCCUUUAAUCUAUGUAAAUAUGUGUGUUUGUGGCAUUAUCCUUCUUUUUAGAGACAAGUUCUAUAAUAAAUAAUAAUCACAUAUUGUAGAAGAUUGAAAUACAAUAUAUUAUAUUUAUUUCAUAGUUUAAUUUUUAUUCUCUUUAAAAAUAGUUAAUAGGUUUUCAUAGCCAUCAAUAGUAUUAUAUAUUAGGAUGGAAAGACCACCUUGAUAUUUGAUAAUUGUUGAGGCUUUUAUAGCUUUUUUCAAAUAAAAUAUUUGUAAUACCAUCAAAAAUGAUUCAUAUCUCCUAUAAUAUCCUAAAUAUUUAGAUUUUUUUUUCAAAGUUAAGACAUCAAACAUGUUAUAUUUUACUAUCUAUUUAAGAAAUAAUAUACUAAUCUUGAGAUUCUUUAUCUAUCAUGUCAUCUAAAAGAUUAUAAAAAUUAUAAUAUCUUAUCUAAUAAUUCAACAAACAAAAGUCUUUAAAAUAAAUUUUCUAAUUUUUGAUUUUCUAUCUUCUAAUGUUAUAAUUAUAUAAAAACUAUAAAUAAAGAUAUAAGAUAAUAUGCAUUUUUUUGUGAAUCUUACUUUUUUUUCUAGCAAAAAAAUAUUAUUCUUUACCUUAAUUUUGAUAAAUAUUAUCAAUAAAAAGAAUUAAUUUUCUUUAUUAUGUUUGUAAGGUCCUUUGUUGGCUUCCAUAUAUAUUGACUAAUAUCAUAUUUGCACUUAUAAACAAGAUAUUCUAACCUAUUUUGAUAUUACCUUCACUCUAAGACUUCUUUGACUUCAAAUUCUUGAUUAUUGUUCAUUUCUAUAAAAAAAAGUGGUAUUUGUAUUCAUCUUAAUUUAUCUAUUAUUUUAUAUGGCUUAAAAAGAGACACAUAAAAUAUGGAAUGAUCUUCAUAGAAUUUGAUAAAUUUAAUCAAUAAAGAAGUAGAUUGGUCUGUUCACAAAUAAAAAAUGGUUCAAAUCUAUAAUAAUCUACUUUGUUAUAAGAAUAAAUAAUAUUGAUAUUACAACAAAAUAACUAUAUCUUAUUAUCUAUGUAGAAUUGAAAUUAUAUCCUAUAAUAGAUAUCUAUAUUUAUUUUUUUUAUUAUUCUUGAGUUUUUUUUUUAUUAUGCCUUCAUUAUUGUAUGUAGCUCUGAUAAACAAUUUGUCAAAUCUUUUGCUAUAAAAUUAUCAAUUUUUGAAAAGUCAAAAGAAUAAAAUCAUAGAUGAUAACCAUAAUUGAUAAAAAAAAUUAUUUAUUAAAUUAAAAAUAUAUUAUAUUAUAAUUUAAAAAAUUUACCAAUGGUAGAAGAAUUAUUCAAUUAUCUUAAUGGUAGUUGAUUGUAUACCUCAAAUAUUGCUUUAAAAUUAAAUUUAUUUCUUCUGUUUAUCCAUUAAUUUUAAGAUAAAAAGUCAAAGAUAUUUUUAUAUCUAUCUUCAAUAUUUUAAAAAUAGUUCUCCAAAAUCUUCAUACAAGUAUUAUCCAUCUAUUCAAUAUAAUAUCCUUUAGCAAUCUAUGAUAGCAAUAAAUGUUGUCAAAAAAAGUUUAAUUAUUUUUUCACAUAAAAUAGAUUUUUUACAUAAUAAAAAAAUAUAACAUCUUGGUAAAAAAAUCUAUAAUCACAAAUAUGGAAUUAUAUAAAUUUAAAAUUAUAAAAUUUAUGAUAGAAUCCAUAGAAACAAAAGAACAUUAUUUUUUGUAUAAAUAGUGGCUAAAAAAGUUUAUAAGGUUGAUCUUGAAAAAAUGUCACAUAAUUAUAAAAAUUAUAUAAUUUAUUUUUAUAUUUAAAUCUAUAAAAAAUAUUUGAAUAUUAGAUUUAAAGUCUUAUUAUAUCAAAAAUAUCUUAGAGUUGUUAAGUCAUGAUGAGCUUAAAGAAUACAUAAUUGUACUUUUUUUAGAACAUAUAAGUGACUUUAAAAAUAGAAUAGAUUAUUUUUAAAUUCAAAUUUAGAAAUAUCAUGAGACUUAAAGAAAUAUAUUCUUAAUAUCAUGAAAAAGAAGAUUAAAAGACAUUUUUGAUUGAACUUGCUUAAAAAAGAUUGAAUAAAUAAUUAAUAUUGAUUUCAUUUCUCAAAGAUGAAAUUAAUUCAGCUUCAAAAGAAUGAUUUAUUAUUAAUCAAAAUUUAUAUUUCUUUCUUUUGGUGCAAGUCAAGAAUAUCUAAAAAUAUAUAAUAAAUCUUGUUAUUUAUUUUAGUUGAUAUAUAAUUUUAACUUCAAAUUUUGAUAAAGACAUGCUUCAACAUACUUGGCAAUGAUUUAAAAUAUAUGCUCAUAUAAAAUAGUUGAGAUUCUUGUGACUCAUAUAUAUAUAUAUAUAUAUAUAUAUAUAUAUAUAUAUGAUGUCUAAAUUAGAAGCAACUUCUAAAUAAUGAUGAAAUUCUUGAAAUAAAUCUAUAAUUGUAAGGAAUUUUUUGUGAAGAUCUUGUAGUUAAUUUUGAAUAUGAAUCACAAACAAAUAAAACCUAAAUACAUUCUUGUGUCACUUGAAAAGAAUAGAUAUUUACUCAAAAUUAAUAUAAUAUUAAAAUUGGAAUGACUAUUGCCAAUAACAAGAAGACUAGAGAUUCUUAAAAGAAGAUUAAGGACUAAAAAGGCAUUGCCAAGACUAAAAAAAGCUUCACACUUACAUCUAUAUAUAUAUAUAUAUAUAUAUAUAUAUAUAUAUAUAUAAUAUUUAAUUAAGAAUUAUUAAAUAUAUAUAUUAAAUAUUAUUAAAUAAUAUUAUAUAUGUUUAUAAUAUUAUAUAUAUAUGUUUAUAAUAUUAUAUAUAUAUGUUUAUAAUAUUAUAUAUAUAUAUAUUUAAUAUAUAUUUAAUAUAUAUUAAAUAUAUUAUUAAAUAUUAUAUAUAUAUAUAUUUAAUAUAUAUUAAAUAUAUUAUUAAAUAUUAUAUAUAUAUAUUUAAUAUAUAUUAAAUAUAUUAUUAAAUAUUAUAUAUAUAUAUAUAUAAUAUUUAAUUAAGAAUUAUAUUGUAGUAUUUUAUAAGACCUCCAAUAUGUAUCCAACUUGCAAAACAUGUGUCUAACAUAUAAGACAAGUUUCACAUGUGUACCACAUAAUAAACUUCUAUUACAAAUGGCCAAUAUGCACAAUAUAAGAUCAACUUGUUUGCAAAUUUUUCAAUCUUUCAAUGACUUAUAAACAUGUAUUAAAUCAAACCACAUCAAUAAAACUUCAAAGAAGCUUUUCCACAAGAUAUUAUCAAAUCUAUUUACUUCUAUUUACUCCUAUCUAAUUUCUUUAAUCCAAAUAAAUAUGUAUGUAAUUUGUCAUGUUAUAAUACAACUAAUAGGUAAAAAAGUGAAGAAAUAUUAUAUUAUAGAAGAUCUUAUUUCAAAAUAUUAUAGCAAAUUAUCUUUAAAAUAAAAAUAAUAAUUAAGAGAUAGUAAAACCAAAUAUACAAAUUCUGCCAUUUUAAAAAGUGGGCUCCUACUUACUUUGUAGAGCCAUAAAGAGGCAAAAAAAGAUACAUUAGAAAAAUAAAGAAUAUAGGCAUAUAUACAAAAAAUUUAAGAGUUAGUUUUAGCAAAAAUUACUUCAAGAAAAUAAGAAUUAAUACUCAAAAAGAAUCAAUUGUCAACCAUAGUGUCACGGACAUACAUAUUUAUUUUAAUAUUAAAUUAUAUGAUUAAAUAAAAGUAUAUAAAAGUAGAUUGAUUUUACAAUAUUUUCUAAAAAAUCUUCUUAUAAGCUUUAUAGAUAUUGCUUUGAUUUUACAUAUGUUUAUAAUUGAUUGGUACAUUAGAAACUUGGUCAAUAAAUUAACUAUAUAUUGAUAGCUUACGGAACAAGCUAACUAUGUGGCACACAUAUAGGAAACUUGCCUUGCAAAUUAAGAUAUGUGUCUUGCAAAGUCAAUAUGUUUUGGAGGUCCUAUAGGAUAUUGCUACAUAAUUCCUAAUUAAGAGUAUAUAUAGAGGCAUGAGUGAAGCCUUUUUUACUCUUGUCAAUAACUUUUUAGUCUUUAGUCUUAUUUCAAGACUUUUUAGUCUUCUUGUCUUUGAUACUAGAUAUUUUAGUUUAAUAGUGUAUCAUCUUUGAGUUAUUUUUUAGUCUUUUUAAAUGACAUAAGAAUAUAUUGAUAUUUUAGUUUUUUAAGAUUCAUGUCCAUGACAGUUUGACAAAAGUCCUAAUUCAUUGUUCUUGUCUUGUUUUAGAAGUGAGUAGAUUAUUCCACUUCUAUAUUUAUAUUUUGAAGGUUAUAGAUUAUUUAUUUUUAAAUUAAUUUUUUAAUUUUUUUAAAUUUAUUUUUUUCUUAAAACGAGAAAAUUAUCUCUUUUUGUAGAAAUUUUCAUUUGAUAUUAGAGGUUGUGGAUUAUCUUCUUUUAAUUUAAUUUAUAAAUUUAUUAAAUUAUUUGAAAUAAAAGGAUAAAUCAUUGAUGCUACAUUAGGUAGAAGUAAGAAUUUAAUUGCAACUAUUUCAGAUCUUUACAAACUUGUCAACACUCUUAGGGUGGAAAUUUUACACAUCGCUAUUAUCUAUCGAAGAAAUACUAAUACUACACCUAUAAAAGAAGUUCAAAGUUUGUAUCAAGAAUUUGUAUAAUUGAAAGAAGCAAAUAGAUUAACAUCAUAAUAAAAUCUAAAAAGUUUUGUUUCUACAAGUAUAAUGGAGAUAAGAAUUAUUAUGCCUAAGAUGUUUGAUGGACGAAGUUCAAAAUUUCAAUGAUUUUUGCAGCUGUGAAGCUCUAUCUAAGGUUCAAUUCUUUCCAAUAUUUUGAUGGAUUUACUCAAGUUGGAUUCAUAAGUAUACUUUUAUUUUAAAGUGCUCUCUCUUGGUUUACACCUUUGAUAGAAAAGGCUUCAUGACUCUUUUAUGAUGUGAAUUCAUUUCUAGAAGUAUUUAAGGCCACAUUUGGAGAAAAUAAUUAAAAAAGAGUAGUAGAGAUUAAGCUCUUGUUUUUACAACAAAGAUUAUGAUUAGCCACCAUAUAUAUUGCUAAAUUGCAAAACCUUACUUAUAACAUAGACUAAAAUAAAAAAAAGCCCUUAUUAAUCAAUUUUGAUAUAGAUUGAAAGACAAUAUCAAAGAUUUGACAUUAACAAUGCCAAAACCAAAGUGUUUGGAACAAUUUAUUAUUUAAGCCAUUGCUUAUAAUAAUUAAUUAUUUACAAAGAGUCAAAAAUAAAGAUUUGAUUAGAGAAGAAUAAAUCAAAUAAUGAUGAUAGCUUCCAAGUUUUGAGAAACUUAUUCAUCAAGGCUAGAAUUAAUGAAAAUUGAUAUGACAUAUUUUUAAUUUUUUUUAAAGCAAAAAAAGACUUAUUGUUGUAAAAAAGAUUUGUGCCUAUAUUAUGGAGAAUCCAAGUACAUUACUCAACAUUAUUCAAAGAAGCAAUGCAAUCACAAAAAGAAGAGGAUGGUUGCCAAAGAAGACAAUGUGUCAAAAAACAAGUUUUUCUAGCUACUGUAAAGGCCCUACGGCUAAAAUCUUAUACAAUUUGUGGGUCAUCAAAUUGACUCACUUAUUAUUUUAGGAUAAAAAUAUACAUUUAGAAUGAUUUAAAUCAUAAUAUAUAGUAAGUAGUAUAGAAAUCCUUAGAGAAAUAGAAAAUUAGAAUGUUAGUGGUAGAAAUGGAAUCUUAAUAAGUCUUAGAGGUAAUUAUCUACGUUGGUUUUGUAUUUUUAUUCGUUGUUGAAUAAUAAGAAUUAUUUAUUAAGACCAAUAUUUAUAUUGGUCUUCUAUCUAUAUGUACUACUUAUAAAAACUAUAAAUAUUAGUAGUUAGAAGAAGCAUAAAAAAGAACCUCAUGUCAUUUUUAUUAUUGGUAUUAAAAAAAAUAGUAUUUAUAAUAGAUUUAAAUUAAUUUUAUUACUAUAAAAAUCAUCAAGAUAGGAAAUUUUAGCCUUAAAUAGAUAUUAGAAUUAUAGAAAUAUUAUAAGAUGUAUUAGAAUUUUUUAGGAAUUUUUAGAGCAAUUGUCAAGACCUUGGUACAAAUGACUUUACCACUGGGGAAGCCAUUAUGAAGAAAUGGAGUAAGAUUGGAAGACCAUACAAGGUUCCAAGGCUAAUUGAUUGUUUUUGAACACCAUGGUGUAGUCAAAAUUACAAAAAUAAUGGUCCUUCUAGUAGAAAAUAGAAGGAUCAGUAGUUAGUAUAGUUCUUGUAAGAAAGGAGGUACACCAAUCCCAUAUGGGUUGUAGCACCUUGAAGGUAGUUAGGAAGAUAAGACUAAGGCCUCGUGGCCUCUCUUGAAACUCUUAUGUACUACAUGUGAGCCUUAGUGAGGCUCGAACCCUUCAUAUAUAAGCAAAUUACCCUUGAGAUAAAAUAUUUUUACUUAAUCUUUUGUUUAUUUACUUGUUAUUUCAAACCUUCAUAACUUACUUAUAGUAACUCGGAUUUAUAUAUUUUUUAUACUAUUAAAAAGAUAAAAAUAUAUACCUAUCUAAAAAUAGAUUUUUACUUUUUACUUCUACUUUUUAUUGAAUGAAAAUAUAAUGAAUAGACUGUGACUAAGUUUUGGAGUGUAUAUUUGCUUGUAUACAUUCCUUUCACUUGUUUGUGUUGUUUUCUUCUUUUGUUCUUAUUCAUUGCAUCUUCUACUUCACACUAUCCAUUACAAGAAACUUUUAAUUGAGGCCAUCUUGCAAUUUGGGUAGAGGGGUGAAAUUUACACUCACAUAAUUCCUAGUAAAGAUCCUAUUCUCUCCUUAGACCCCUCACUUUUUUUUACAAUAGAAGUUUAUUUAGGACCAAAAAAUCACAAAUUCUUAGUCUUAUUGGAUUCAAGAGCCUCAGCAUAUUUUAUACACAAAUACAUUGUCAAAAAUAAGGAAUAUCUUUAGUUUAGAAAAUCAAAUCUAUGCAUGUAGAAGUAAUAGAUGGUCAUUUAUUGUCUUUUGGAGAUGUUACAUAUAAAACUAUUUCUUUAGAAGUAACAACUAGUAGUCGUAAUAGUUUAAUAAUGUUUAAUGUGAUUAAAUCUCCUUCUAAUCUAAAUAUUUUAAGAUUAUUGUGUUUAAAAAGGUAUAACCUUUAGAUAGAUUAGAUUUCUUACAAUCUUCAUUUUUUCUAUAAUCAAGUUCAAAAUUUUGCUAAUUAAGUAGGACUUCAUAAAAUCAAUAUAUCCAAAUCAUUAUUGAUAGAUACAAAAACUUUCAUGCAUGCUGCAAAAGAAGAGUCAACUUUUAUUAUAUAUGCCAUAUCCAUUGUUGAUGAAGAAAAGAUUUCAAGUGACAUUCUAAGCUAAUACCAAGAUUAUCAAGACAUCUUUGAAAAGAAGAAUGUAGAUAUUCUUCAAAAGUAUUAUCUUUAUGAUUGUUCCAUUGAUCUUGAAGAAAGAGCUCAAUCGCUAUUUGGACCAAUCUAUAGCUUAUCUUAGGACGAGUUGAAUAUACUUAAGGAAUACAUUGAUGAAAAUUUGGUUAAAAACUUCAUAUGCCAUUUUGAAUCUCUAACUAGAUUUUCUAUCUUAUUUAUGAAGAAAAAAAAAAUCUUUAAAGAUAUGACUAGACUAUCAAAGACUCAACAAGAUCACCAUUAAGAAUACAUAUCUUUUAUCCUUCAUUUCAAAACUUCUUGAUAAAUUGAAUCAAUCAAAGACCUAUAUAAAAAUAGAUCAAUAAAUAGUAUAAAAUUUGAUAUAUAUUUAAAAAAAAGAUAAAUAAAAAACUUGUGAGUCCCACCAAUAGAUUUUAAUUGAUGGAUUGGUUAAAAAUAUAGUAUUGAGUUAUUUAAUGAGAUAAAUACUAAGGUUAGAGAUUCUUUUUGACUACUUAUAUAUUCAUUAUAAUUUAGAAGUAUUUAUAAGUAUAAAAGUCUUAUUACAAGAAAAGUUACAAAAAUGAAAUCUUAGUAAGCCUUAGAGGCAAUUAUCUUAGUUGGUUUAGUAUUUUUACUCAUUAUUGAGUAUUAAUGAUUAGUAAUUGAGACCAAUUUAUAUAUUGGCCUCAUAUCUACAUAUAUUACUUACAAAAAUCCUAUCAAUGAUUAGUUAAUAGUUAAAAGAAGCAUGAAAAAGAACUUAUCUUUUAAGUUAUAUAUAUAUAUAUAUAUAUAUAUAUAUAUAUAUCUAUAUAAUAGGAUUUUUAGUGGAUUUAAAUUAAUUUUAUUACUAUAAAAAAAUCACUAAAAUAGAAAAAUACAGUCUUUUUUAGAUUUUAGUAUUAUAUGAAUAUUAUAGAAUUUUUUAGAAUUUAUUUAGAAUUUAUUUAGGAUUUUUUAUGAAUUUUUAGAGAAAAUUUUAAAUACCUUGGUAAAAUUGAGUUUUACCAUCUUGAGAGCCACUAUGAAGAAAUGAAACAAAUUUUAAGAAAAUAAAAGGUUUCUUUUCUAAUUGGGUAUUUUUGAAUAUCAUGGCGUAGUCAAAAAUAUAAUAAAAAUAGUUUUAUUAGUAGAAAAAAGGACGACCAGCAGUUAGUGUAGUCCUUGUAGGAAGAGAGAUGCACAAUUUCUAUGUGGAUUGUAGCACCUUCGGUAUAGGUAGGAAGAUAAGACUAAGGCCUCAAGGCCUCUUUAGACUACCAAUAUACACUACUUGUGAUCCUUAGUGAGGUUUGAACUCCUGAUUUCUUAAACAAAUUAUCCUUGAGGCAAAAAUUACUUACUUAACUUUUCUAUUAUUUACAUUCUAUCUUUAAUCUAUUAUAACUUAUUCAUAGUAACUUGGAAUUACAUGAUUUUUAUGUCAUUGAAAAGAUAAAAAAAUUUAUCUAUUUAAAAAUAUAUUUUUAAUUUUUUACUUUUAUCUUUUAUUGGAUAAAAAUCCACUGAAUAAGUUGUGAUUAGUUUUAUAGUGUACAAUUGCUUGAUUGCACUUGUUUCACUUGUUUGAUGUUGUCUUUCUUUUGUUCUUGUUUAUUGCUACUUCUACUUCUAACUACCAAUUACAAGCAACUUUUAAUUGAGGCCAUCUUGUAAUUUGGAGUGAGGGAGAAAUUUACCCUCACAAAACUCCAUUUCAAGCCAAAUAUAGAUAUUUUGAAUAUAAUGUCAUAUCUUUUGGACUCACAAAUGUGCCAACUACUUUUCAACAUAUAAUAAAUGAUGACUUUUGUGAGUUUUUUGAUGAUUUUUUUAUCUAUUAUUUAAAUGACAUCUUAAUCCACUUUAAGAACAAAAAAGAGCAUGAAAUUCAUAUUCACCAUGUGUUACAAAAAUUAAAAGAUGCAAGAUUAUAUACUAAGAUAAAAAAGUGUGUAUUUUACACUACUUAAGUUUACUUCUUAAAAUACAUCAUUUCAAACAAUGGUCUUAUAUUAGAUCCUAAGAAGAUUCAAACUAUCAUAGAUUUGAAGAUUCUCAAAAUAAUUAGAGAUGUACAAUGUUUUUUAGAAAUUUCCCAAUGAUUAUGAGAUCUUCAUCAAGAACUUUUUUCAAAUUUUAGUUCUUUUUAUAUACUUGAUAUGUAAAAACAAACUUCAGUAGAACAAAGAAGUUGAAGCAUCUUUUAAAGCCUUAAAGAUAAUAUUUAUUUAUGCACCAAACUUGUAUUGCAUUGACUUUUCAAAGGCAUUCUUUAUAGAAAUAGAUGCAUUAAACUUUGCUAUAGAUGCCAUUUAAUUACAAAUAGGAGCAAAUAACAACCUCCACCUAAUAGCUUUUUAUUUCGAGAAAUUUUUAGCAACUGAGAUUAACUAUGAGAUUUAUGAUAAAGAGUUUUUUGUAAUUGUGGAUUUAUUUCAAAAAUGGUGGUAUUAUCUAGAAGAUGCUUCUAAUCCAAUCACUAUAAAUAUAGAUCACAAGAACAUCAUGUCAUCACAUGUUUUGAAUUGUUUUCAAGCCUAUUAUCGUAUUACAUGUUGUCUUGCUUGAAAAUGCACUGGGCACCUAACUCUGGAAGGUGAGGUUGUGUUUCACAAACAUCCAAGAAAUCCUAAUAGGUUUCACCCAUAUGAAAAGAAUAUAAUCUAAGUACUCAUUCAAAAGUACUAAAAAAUACUCUUUUUAGUAGCCUCGUUCAUACAUAAACCUCAAUUACCUUAUUACUUUCAUAUUUAAGCAAUUUUGGUUUUUCUUGUAAGACCCAACCCUAAUCAAUGAGCUUUGACAAGUUGUAACUUCUAAUCUGACUAUCUACUGGAUAUAAAAUUUUACAUACAAUUUUCAAUAUAAGUCUUCUAUACGCUCAAGAAUUUUUAGCCCAAUCCAACUUACAGAUUGUGAAAAGAUCUCCAAAAACUACACUAAUGUCACUUGGCUGCCAACAUGAAAGGUGAAGCAAAAAUUCCAGCAUUGAUUUCUCCUUUUUCAACUGUUAACUUUGAUUCAAAAUUGGUUUGUAGUUUGAUCUUCAAGUCUUUCAAUACUAAGCCAAAUUUCACCUUGAUCCAACUAAUAGAUCUCCAAAUAUCAUAGAAACCCUACCUAACCCCAAACUACCAACUUUGAAUAUAUACUUAUACCAAAACCUAGAUAUCUCUCAAUUACACCAUUGAAUUACCACAAAAUUUCAGAUCCACUUCAAACACCUAAUUAUUCAAGUAUUGCCAAAAUUUAAACUCUAGAUGUGAUACCAAUUUUACAAACUAGCCAAGAGUGCUACGCCUAAUUUCAUUGCAAAAAUUCCAAGUUACUAAUUCAAACCUUGACUUCCAACAAUAAUUGCUAACUCUCCUCAAAUCCUACUAAAACCAACCUUAUGUCUCUAGAAUAAGCUCUAACCUAGCUCUCAAACCCUAAUCUCUGAUCUUCAAAUGAAACUCUAUUUUAUCCUAGGCGAACAUUUUAGUGGCCAGAGGUCUGAUUUCAACCCUGUCUCACAAACAGUCAAUCCCCAAGUAUCAAUCUAACCUAUCAUAAGGAUUUUUUAGUCCAAUCCUAUCCUCAACUUAAUCCUAGUAUCAACUAUAUUAAUUAUUUAUCUCUUAUAAUAUAAUUUUAGUAAUUUAUAGUCUUUUUAAGGCAAUAAAAGAGUUUUUAUAUCCUAAAAGGUAAAAAUACUAAUUAACUUUUAUCUACUUGCUAUUAAGACAAGAAAAUAGGCUAAGAGGCUUUCAUAAAAGCCCUAUUAAAAUAUGUUGAAUUCUUGUUGAAUUAAUAUAAUAGAGUAUUAAUUAAAAAAUAAUUUUUAGUCAUAUUUUCAUCAUACAAUUGUAUCAUAAUACAACACCAUUGGAGCAUAUCUUUAUCAAGAUUUCAUUUUAAGAUAAUAUAUCAAUCCAAAAAAUAAUAAGAUUUAUUUGAUGCCCUUUUUAGAUAAUCUUAUCUUGCAUCAAAAGAAAAAGAUGUACCUUAUGAUCAACAAAGAAUAAUUUUUUUGAAAGCAAAGUAUUUUCAUCUUUCACUAAUAAAAUCAACAUUAAGUAUUGAUUUUAUUUUUGUCAAGAAAAUUCAAUCAAAUAUAUCCUUUGAUCUUUUUAUUCAUGAUAAUAAGAAUAAUUCUUUUAGGUCUCAUUGUACUUUUAAGUUUGAAUUCAAAAAUAAUCUAUUUUAUUUCAAAAGAAAAUUAUAUAUUCUAAAAGAAAAAGCAUGAUUAUGUAUUUUCCAAAUUUAUCAUGACUUUUCAAUAGUUGGACAUUUUGGAUACAAUAAGACUUUGGAGCUAAUAUAAGGAGAUUUUUGAUGGCCUCAAAUGUGGAAAGUACUUAAAGUCUUUGUACAAUCAUAUGAUAUUUGUUUAAGAUCCAAAACUCUUUAUCAUAGAUCUUUAGGACUUCUUUAGCCUUUAUCUAUUUUGAAACAACCAUAGUCUUCUAUUUCUAUUAAUUUUAUCACAAAUCUUAUAGUCUCAGGUUCAUUUGAUUCUAUAUUUGUAUUUCAUUUGAUCUAUGUCUCAGGUUCAUUUUAUCAAGAUGGCAUAUUUUACACUAUGUACAAAAUCUAUCAUAGGUAAAAAAAAAAAAAAAAGAAAAAAAAAAAAUCGAUAAGUUUUUUUUUGGAUAAUAUUUAUUGCUAUGCCCAUCAUCUCCUCGCAGGCACGAAUUCGUCCAACCCCAAGAGGCAUUCAUCCGUGCCCCUCAGGGAACGAAUAUUCAUCCACAAAUACAUUCAUUCUCUCAUUCAUCCACCUCAAGCCCACUCACACAGAGGGAGGGAGAGACAGAGAGCCAACGAAGGAAGAUCAGCACGCACGCAACUCCAGAGAGAGGGACUGAGAGAGUGUUUGUGUGAGUCGCCUUUUCAUGCCCUUCAAGCAUCCUCGCGAUUGCAGAUCCAGCAGCAGCAUUAGGGUUUCCAUUCCGCUUUACCUGACGCUCAUCGCCCCCCAAGGCCACCCACCAUGAGCGGCAAGGCAGUGCAGGAGGCUGGCAAGGCCGUGCAGAAGGCCAAGGCCAUCGACUGGGAUUAUCUGCAGAGAGUGGUGGUCUCCGACUCCGGUAAGCGCGAGCUCGCUGCG
rnacentral:lncRNA from 1 species